GAACCUUUGGCUUAGUGGUCAGAGCGCUAAGAUGGUGUCCAAGAGUCGCAGGUUCAAAUUCUGCUACGUUGA
rnacentral:tRNA from 1 species